rnacentral:ribozyme from 13 species
AAGAGGAUUUAGAAGAGGAAGAAGAAGACUUGGAAGCAGAAGAUUUAGAAGUUUUGGUUGUGCUUUUCGAAGCUGGUUCUUUUUUCUCUUUCCCCUUUUCUUUUUCUUCUUCACCUCUUGUAAUCUUU